rnacentral:rRNA from 1 species
AGUAACGAUAAAGCGGGUGAAAAGCCCGCUCGCCGGAAGACCAAGGGUUCCUGUCCAACGUUAAUCGGGGCAGGGUGAGUCGACCCCUAAGGCGAGGCCGAAAGGCGUAGUCGAUGGGAAACAGGUUAAUAUUCCUGUACUUGGUGUUACUGCGAAGGGGGGACGGAGAAGGCUAUGUUGGCCGGGCGACGGUUGUCCCGGUUUAAGCGUGUAGGCUGGUUUUCCAGGCAAAUCCGGAAAAUCAAGGCUGAGGCGUGAUGACGAGGCACUACGGUGCUGAAGCAACAAAUGCCCUGCUUCCAGGAAAAGCCUCUAAGCAUCAGGUAACAUCAAAUCGUACCCCAAACCGACACAGGUGGUCAGGUAGAGAAUACCAAGGCGCUUGAGAGAACUCGGGUGAAGGAACUAGGCAAAAUGGUGCCGUAACUUCGGGAGAAGGCACGCUGAUAUGUAGGUGAAGUCCCUCGCGGAUGGAGCU